rnacentral:rRNA from 1 species
AUAAAAAACCAAUGCUCUUCGGGGCUCCUUGGUGAUUCAUAAUAACUUAACGAAUCGCAUGGCCUUGUGCCGGCGAUGGUUCAUUCAAAUUUCUGCCCUAUCAACUUUCGAUGGUAGGAUAGUGGCCUACCAUGGUUU